UGGGGAAUAUUGCACAAUGGGCGCAAGCCUGAUGCAGCAACGCCGCGUGAACGAUGAAGGUCUUCGGAUCGUAAAGUUCUGUUGCAGGGGAAGAUAAUGACGGUACCCUGUGAGGAAGCCCCGGCUAACUACGUGCCAGCAGCCGCGGUAAUACGUAGGGGGCUAGCGUUAUCCGGAUUUACUGGGCGUAAAGGGUGCGUAGGUGGUCUUUCAAGUCGGUGGUUAAAGGCUACGGCUCAACCGUAGUUAGCCUCCGAAACUGGAAGACUUGAGUGCAGGAGAGGAAAGUGGAAUUCCCAGUGUAGCGGUGAAAUGCGUAGAUAUUGGGAGGAACACCAGUAGCGAAGGCGGCUUUCUGGACUGCAACUGACACUGAGGUACGAAAGCGUGGGUAGCAAACAGG
rnacentral:rRNA from 1 species